AGAGUUUGAUCCUGGCUCAGGACGAACGCUGGCGGCGUGCCUAAUACAUGCAAGUCGAGCGGUUGAAGCCUUCGGGCGGAGAUAGCGGCGGACGGGUGAGUAACACGUAGGUAACCUGCCUAACAGACUGGGAUAACUACCGGAAACGGUAGCUAAGACCGGAUACGUCAACAUGAGGGCAUCCUUGAGUUGAGAAAAGCGGAGUAAUCUGCUACUGAUAGAUGGACCUGCGGCGCAUUAGCUAGUUGGUGAGGUAGAGGCUCACCAAGGCGACGAUGCGUAGCCGACCUGAGAGGGUGAACGGCCACACUGGGACUGAGACACGGCCCAGACUCCUACGGGAGGCAGCAGUAGGGAAUCUUCGGCAAUGGACGAAAGUCUGACCGAGCAACGCCGCGUGAGUGAUGAAGGUUUUCGGAUCGUAAAACUCUGUUGCCAGGGAAGAAUGGCUAGGCGAGUAACUGCGCUUAGUUUGACGGUACCUGAGAAGAAAGCCCCGGUUAACUACGUGCCAGCAGCCGCGGUAAUACGUAGGGGGCAAGCGUUGUCCGGAAUUAUUGGGCGUAAAGCGCGCGCAGGCGGUCAUUUAAGUCUGGUGUAUAAACCAAGGGCUCAACCUUUGGACGCAUUGGAAACUGGGUGACUGGAGUGUAGGAGAGGAAAGUGGAAUUCCACGUGUAGCGGUGAAAUGCGUAGAGAUGUGGAGGAACACCAGUGGCGAAGGCGACUUUCUGGCCUAUAACUGACGCUGAGGCGCGAAAGCGUGGGGAGCAAACAGGAUUAGAUACCCCCGUAGUCC
rnacentral:rRNA from 1 species